GAUGAACGCUGGCGGCGUGCCUAAUACAUGCAAGUCGAGCGAACAGACGAGGAGCUUGCUCCUCUGACGUUAGCGGCGGACGGGUGAGUAACACGUGGAUAACCUACCUAUAAGACUGGGAUAACUUCGGGAAACCGGAGCUAAUACCGGAUAAUAUAUUGAACCGCAUGGUUCAAUAGUGAAAGACGGUUUUGCUGUCACUUAUAGAUGGAUCCGCGCCGCAUUAGCUAGUUGGUAAGGUAACGGCUUACCAAGGCAACGAUGCGUAGCCGACCUGAGAGGAUGAUCGGCCACACUGGAACUGAGACACGGUCCAGACUCCUACGGGAGGCAGCAGUGGGGAAUCUUGCGCAAAGGGCGAAAGCCUGACGGAGCCACGCCGCGUGAGUGAUGAAGGUCUUCGGAUCGUAAAACUCUGUUAUUAGGGAAGAACAAAUGUGUAAGUAACUAUGCACGUCUUGACGGUACCUAAUCAGAAAGCCACGGCUAACUACGUG
rnacentral:rRNA from 1 species